AUUGCAAUGAUGAGGUAAGACACCUUAUGGUGUAAUUAGGGCAGUGGACAAGUUCUAUCUUGCCGUGAUCCCAAUUUUUAACGACUUCUCCUUCCACUGAGCUCC